rnacentral:rRNA from 1 species
GAUGAACGCUGGCGGCGUGCCUAAUACAUGCAAGUCGAGCGAACAGAUGAGGAGCUUGCUCCUCUGACGUUAGCGGCGGACGGGUGAGUAACACGUGGAUAACCUACCUAUAAGACUGGGAUAACUUCGGGAAACCGGAGCUAAUACCGGAUAAUAUAUUGAACCGCAUGGUUCAAUAGUGAAAGACGGUUUUGCUGUCACUUAUAGAUGGAUCCGCGCCGCAUUAGCUAGUUGGUUAGGUAACGGCUUACCAAGGCAACGAUGCGUAGCCGACCUGAGAGGGUGAUCGGCCACACUGGAACUGAGACACGGUCCAGACUCCUACGGGAGGCAGCAGUAGGGAAUCUUCCGCAAUGGGCGAAAGCCUGACGGAGCAACGCCGCGUGAGUGAAGAAGGUCUUCGGAUCGUAAAACUCUGUUAUUAGGGAAGAACAAAUGUGUAAGUAACUAUGCACGUCUUGACGGUACCUAAUCAGAAAGCCACGGCUAACUACGUG